AACGAACGCUGGCGGCGCGUUUUAAGCAUGCAAGUCGAACGGUAGAGAAACUUCGGUUUCUUGAGAGUGGCGAAUGGGUGAGUAACACGUAGAUGAUCUGCCUUGAAGUUGGGGAUAGCCUAUAGAAAUAUAGGGUAAUACCGAAUAAUUUUUUACUACUUUGGUAGUUUAAGGAAAGGGGCUUCGGCCUCGCUUUAAGAUGAGUCUGCGGUCUAUUAGCUAGUUGGUAGGGUAAUAGCCUACCAAGGCGACGAUAGAUAGCCGGCCUGAGAGGGUGACCGGCCACAUUGGGACUGAGACACGGCCCAAACUCCUACGGGAGGCAGCAGCUAAGAAUCUUCCGCAAUGGGCGAAAGCCUGACGGAGCGACGCCGCGUGGACGAAGAAUGCCGAGAGGUUGUAAAGUCCUUUUAUUUGCGAAGAAUAAUGCCUGUAGGUAAUGACAGGCAGAUGACGUUAGCUUAUGAAUAAGCUCCGGCCAAUUACGUG
rnacentral:rRNA from 1 species